ACAACAUCAUGGUGAUUUUAUUCUAGUUACACAGCCUUGUUCUGUUGGAUUUGUCAUCGUCAUUUUGACAAAUCCACGGUGGAAAAGGGUGUUCCAUUGCCAAAGUUUGGAGAAUGGGACGUGAAUGAUCCAGCAUCAGCUGAGGGAUAUACCGUGAUAUUCAACAAAGCUAGGAAUGAGAAGAAGAGUGGUGCUAAGAUUGAUUCACCAUCAACGGAUUAUCGUAAAACCAAAUAUAAACAUCAAGUUGUUCUUGGCAAACCCCAAUCUAAAAAUGGUUUUGCUGCGUAAGUCCAUCCGGCGGAGAAUCAUAAGAUUUUCGAAAUCAGCAUAAUUUUCAGGAAUCUGGAGCUUUGUCUAAGCCAUGAUGGUGUACUGUUGGAAUCUAUGAGCUUUGGAAAAUAAUAAUAAUAAUUAGCAGAUGUAUUUCAUUAUAUAUUUAUUAUUAAGGAAAAAGAUAAACUCUAACAAAGAUUAUUAUCUCUUGCACUGAUGGAAA